rnacentral:rRNA from 1 species
GAUGAACGCUAGCGGCAGGCUUAAUACAUGCAAGUCGAACGGGAUUCAGGGUAGCAAUACUUUGAUGAGAGUGGCGCACGGGUGCGUAACGCGUAUGCAACCUACCUUUAACAGGGGAAUAGCCCCGAGAAAUCGGGAUUAAUACUCCGUAACAUUGCGGGAUGGCAUCAUUCUGCAAUUAAAGAUUUAUCGGUUAAAGAUGGGCAUGCGUGACAUUAGCUAGUUGGUGAGGUAACGGCUCACCAAGGCAACGAUGUCUAGGGGUCCUGAGAGGGUUAUCCCCCACACUGGUACUGAGACACGGACCAGACUCCUACGGGAGGCAGCAGUAAGGAAUAUUGGUCAAUGGGCGCAAGCCUGAACCAGCCAUGCCGCGUGCAGGAAGACGGCCCUAUGGGUUGUAAACUGCUUUUGCCAGGGAAUAAACCUGUCUACGUGUAGACAGCUGAAGGUACCUGAAGAAUAAGCAUCGGCUAACUCCGUGCCAGCA